CCACAUCCAAGGAAGGCAGCAGGCGCGUAAAUUACCCAAUGCCAGUACGGCGAGGUAGUGACGAAAAAUAACAAUACAGGACUCUUUUAUGAUGUUCUGUAAUUGGAAUGAAUUAACUUUAAAUCCUUUAAUGAGGAUCAAGUGGAGGGCAAGUCUGGUGCCAGCAGCCGCGGUAAUUCCAGCUCCACUAGCGUAUAUUAAAGUUGUUGCGGUUAAAACGUCGAAGUGAACAGCAUA
rnacentral:rRNA from 1 species